rnacentral:rRNA from 1 species
CACGGGGGGAGCAAGCGUUGUCCGGAAUCAUUGGGCGUAAAGAGCGUGUAGGCGGCCCGGUAAGUCCGCUGUAAAAGUCAAAGGCUCAACCUUUGAAUGUCAGUGGAUACUGCCGGGCUAGAGUCCGGAAGAGGCGAGUGGAACUCCUGGUGUAGCGGUGGAAUGCGCAGAUAUCAGGAAGAACACCAACGGCGAAGGCAGCUCGCUGGGACGGUACUGACGCUGAGACGCGAAAGCGUGGGGAGCGAACAGG